ACUAGGUAGGGUUGUUGGUUCACUUGCUCAUCUUUUGGCCCUUGGCUUGCAUUUCUUGAGAUUCAAUUUGAGUCUCGCUUCCUCACUUCCUCCUCUCUACAAAUCUAAGUGUUUGGAUUUUGUGUGUGAGAGACUUGGUGGAUUUGAGUUAAUUUGAGUGCUUGGUGUUGACUUCGUGAAGAAAUUUCUUGAGCACUAGAUUCAUCCCCAAGGAAUUUCUUGAGGACACCUAGAUGGCUAGGCGUCGUUACAUGAGCCACCAAA
rnacentral:lncRNA from 1 species